GGUCAAGUGAAUAAGUGCAUCAGGCGGAUGCCUUGGCGAUGAUAGGCGACGAAGGACGUGUAAGCCUGCGAAAAGCGCGGGGGAGCUGGCAAUAAAGCUAUGAUUCCGCGAUGUCCGAAUGGGGAAACCCACUGCAUUCUGUGCAGUAUCCUAAGUUGAAUACAUAGGCUUAGAGAAGCGAACCCGGAGAACUGAACCAUCUAAGUACCCGGAGGAAAAGAAAUCAACCGAGAUUCCGCAAGUAGUGGCGAGCGAACGCGGAGGAGCCUGUACGUAAUAACUGUCGAGAUAGAAGAACAAGCUGGGAAGCUUGACCAUAGCGGGCGACAGUCCCGUAUUCGAAAUCUCAACAGCGGUACUAAGCGUACGAAAAGUAGGGCGGGACACGUGAAAUCCUGUCUGAAUAUGGGGGGACCAUCCUCCAAGGCUAAAUACUCAUCAUCGACCGAUAGUGAACCAGUACCGUGAGGGAAAGGCGAAAAGAACCCCGGGAGGGGAGUGAAACAGAACCUGAAACCUGAUGCAUACAAACAGUGGGAGCGCCCUAGUGGUGUGACUGCGUACCUUUUGUAUAAUGGGUCAACGACUUACAUUCAGUAGCGAGCUUAACCGGAUAGGGGAGGCGUAGGGAAACCGAGUCUUAAUAGGGCGAUGAGUUGCUGGGUGUAGACCCGAAACCGAGUGAUCUAUCCAUGGCCAGGUUGAAGGUGCCGUAACAGGUACUGGAGGACCGAACCCACGCAUGUUGCAAAAUGCGGGGAUGAGCUGUGGGUAGGGGUGAAAGGCUAAACAAACUCGGAGAUAGCUGGUUCUCCCCGAAAACUAUUUAGGUAGUGCCUCGAGCAAGACACUGAUGGGGGUAAAGCACUGUUAUGGCUAGGGGGUUAUUGCAACUUACCAACCCAUGGCAAACUCAGAAUACCAUCAAGUGGUUCCUCGGGAGACAGACAGCGGGUGCUAACGUCCGUUGUCAAGAGGGAAACAACCCAGACCGCCGGCUAAGGUCCCAAAUGAUAGAUUAAGUGGUAAACGAAGUGGGAAGGCACAGACAGCCAGGAUGUUGGCUUAGAAGCAGCCAUCAUUUAAAGAAAGCGUAAUAGCUCACUGGUCGAGUCGUCCUGCGCGGAAGAUGUAACGGGGCUCAAAUCUAUAACCGAAGCUGCGGAUGCCGGUUUACCGGCAUGGUAGGGGAGCGUUCUGUAGGCUGAUGAAGGUGCAUUGUAAAGUGUGCUGGAGGUAUCAGAAGUGCGAAUGUUGACAUGAGUAGCGAUAAAGCGGGUGAAAAGCCCGCUCGCCGAAAGCCCAAGGUUUCCUACGCAACGUUCAUCGGCGUAGGGUAAGUCGGCCCCUAAGGCGAGGCAGAAAUGCGUAGUCGAUGGGAAACAGGUUAAUAUUCCUGUACUUGAUUCAAAUGCGAUGUGGGGACGGAGAAGGUUAGGUUGGCAAGCUGUUGGAAUAGCUUGUUUAAGCCGGUAGGUGGAAGACUUAGGCAAAUCCGGGUUUUCUUAACACCGAGAAGUGAUGACGAGUGUCUACGGACACGAAGCAACCGAUACCACGCUUCCAGGAAAAGCCACUAAGCUUCAGUUUGAAUCGAACCGUACCGCAAACCGACACAGGUGGGCAGGAUGAGAAUUCUAAGGCGCUUGAGAGAACUCGGGAGAAGGAACUCGGCAAAUUGAUACCGUAACUUCGGGAGAAGGUAUGCCCUCUAAGGUUAAGGACUUGCUCCGUAAGCCCCGGAGGGUCGCAGAGAAUAGGUGGCUGCGACUGUUUAUUAAAAACACAGCACUCUGCCAACACGAAAGUGGACGUAUAGGGUGUGACGCCUGCCCGGUGCCGGAAGGUUAAUUGAAGAUGUGCAAGCAUCGGAUCGAAGCCCCGGUAAACGGCGGCCGUAACUAUAACGGUCCUAAGGUAGCGAAAUUCCUUGUCGGGUAAGUUCCGACCCGCACGAAUGGCGUAACGAUGGCCACACUGUCUCCUCCCGAGACUCAGCGAAGUUGAAGUGGUUGUGAAGAUGCAAUCUACCCGCUGCUAGACGGAAAGACCCCGUGAACCUUUACUGUAGCUUUGCAUUGGACUUUGAAGUCACUUGUGUAGGAUAGGUGGGAGGCUUGGAAGCAGAGACGCCAGUCUCUGUGGAGUCGUCCUUGAAAUACCACCCUGGUGUCUUUGAGGUUCUAACCCAGACCCGUCAUCCGGGUCGGGGACCGUGCAUGGUAGGCAGUUUGACUGGGGCGGUCUCCUCCCAAAGCGUAACGGAGGAGUUCGAAGGUUACCUAGGUCCGGUCGGAAAUCGGACUGAUAGUGCAAUGGCAAAAGGUAGCUUAACUGCGAGACCGACAAGUCGGGCAGGUGCGAAAGCAGGACAUAGUGAUCCGGUGGUUCUGUAUGGAAGGGCCAUCGCUCAACGGAUAAAAGGUACUCCGGGGAUAACAGGCUGAUUCCGCCCAAGAGUUCAUAUCGACGGCGGAGUUUGGCACCUCGAUGUCGGCUCAUCACAUCCUGGGGCUGUAGUCGGUCCCAAGGGUAUGGCUGUUCGCCAUUUAAAGUGGUACGUGAGCUGGGUUUAAAACGUCGUGAGACAGUUUGGUCCCUAUCUGCAGUGGGCGUUGGAAGUUUGACGGGGGCUGCUCCUAGUACGAGAGGACCGGAGUGGACGAACCUCUGGUGUACCGGUUGUAACGCCAGUUGCAUAGCCGGGUAGCUAAGUUCGGAAGAGAUAAGCGCUGAAAGCAUCUAAGCGCGAAACUCGCCUGAAGAUGAGACUUCCCUUGCGGUUUAACCGCACUAAAGGGUCGUUCGAGACCAGGACGUUGAUAGGUGGGGUGUGGAAGCGCGGUAACGCGUGAAGCUAACCCAUACUAAUUGCCCGUGAGGCUUGACUCU
rnacentral:rRNA from 1 species